rnacentral:rRNA from 1 species
GAUGAACGCUAGCUACAGGCUUAACACAUGCAAGUCGCGGGGCAGCAUGGGGGUUGCUUGCAAUCCCCGAUGGCGACCGGCGUACGGGUGAGUAACGCGUAUUCAACCUGCCCUUCACCACGGGAUAACCCGGCGAAAGUCGGACUAAUACCGUAUGUUGUCCAUUGACGGCAUCCGAUUUGGACGAAAGGCUUGGCGGUGAGGGAUGGGGAUGCGUCCGAUUAGCCAGACGGCGGGGUAACGGCCCACCGUGGCUACGAUCGGUAGGGGUUCUGAGAGGAAGGUCCCCCACACUGGAACUGAGACACGGUCCAGACUCCUACGGGAGGCAGCAGUGAGGAAUAUUGGUCAAUGGGCGUAAGCCUGAACCAGCCAAGUAGCGUGCAGGAUGACGGCCCUAUGGGUUGUAAACUGCUUUUAUGCGGGGAUAAAGUGGCCCACGUGUGGGCUUUUGCAGGUACCGCAUGAAUAAGGACCGGCUAAUUCCGUG